UUACUUUGUUUUGCUUCACAUAAUAACAAGGCUUCGUCUUGUAGUGAGUAAAGCCAGAAUAAUCACUAUAAAUGGAAUUAAGGUAGCAGAUCUUUUAGUGUCGCAGCCUCCAAGCUAUGGAACUCCGCCCAAUAACUCCGCCCAAACUGGUCACAGUGGGUCUGUGAUGAUUGAAAAACACUUGGAUUAAGUAUGGAAUACAUCCUGGAGAGGCGUCAAUCCAUUACAGGGCAACACACAGGCUUAAGCGGGUGUGUUGGGGCAUUUCCUGUUUCCUGUAGGAUGAGUCGUCAUGUUGCAGAUGCUCUAAGGGGCGAGGGAGGAACUUUCUGUCACCUAGACAAAAGAGCAGGUAGGUAGGUGGGUCCAGAAGGUAUGUCUGGAAGGAAGGAAGGAAGGUCCAGAGGGAAGGAAGGAAGGUAGGUAGGUCCAGGAGGAAGGAAAGUAGGUCCAGAAGGAAGGAAGGCAGGUAGGUCCAGAAGGAAGGACGGUAGGUCCAGAAAAAAGGAAGGUAGGUCCAGAAGGAAGGUAGGUAGGUCCAGAAGGAAGGAAGGAAGGUAAGUCCAGAGGGAAAAAAAGUUCCAGAAGGAAGGUCCAGACGGAAGGAAGGUAGGUUCAGAAAGAAGGAAGGACGAUAGGUCUGGAAGGAAGGAAGGUAUGUCCAGAAGGAAGUAAGGAAGGUAGGUCCAGAAAAAAGGAAGGUAGCUCCAAAAGGAAGGAAGGUCCAGAAGGAAGGAAGGAAGGUAGGUAGGUCCGGA